rnacentral:rRNA from 1 species
GGAAUUAUUGGGCGUAAAGAGCUCGUAGGCGGUUUGUCGCGUCUGCUGUGAAAACUGGGGGCUCAACCCCCAGCCUGCAGUGGGUACGGGCAGACUAGAGUGCGGUAGGGGAGAUUGGAAUUCCUGGUGUAGCGGUGGAAUGCGCAGAUAUCAGGAGGAACACCGAUGGCGAAGGCAGAUCUCUGGGCCGUAACUGACGCUGAGGAGCGAAAGGGUGGGGAGCAAACAGGCUUAGAUACCCUGGUAGUCCACCCCGUAAACGUUGGGAACUAGUUGUGGGGUCCAUUCCACGGAUUCCGUGACGCAGCUAACGCAUUAAGUUCCCCGCCUGGGGAGUACGGCCGCAAGGCUAAAACUCAAAGGAAUUGACGGGGACCCGCACAAGCGGCGGAGCAUGCGGAUUAAUUCGAUGCAACGCGAAGAACCUUACCAAGGCUUGACAUACACGAGAACGCUGCAGAAAUGUAGAACUCUUUGGACACUCGUGAACAGGUGGUGCAUGGUUGUCGUCAGCUCGUGUCGUGAGAUGUUGGGUUAAGUCCCGCAACGAGCGCAACCCUCGUUCUAUGUUGCCAGCACGUAAUGGUGGGAACUCAUGGGAUACUGCCGGGGUCAACUCGGAGGAAGGUGGGGAUGACGUCAAAUCAUCAUGCCCCUUAUGUCUUGGGCUUCACGCAUGCUACAAUGGCCGGUACAAAGGGCUGCAAUACCGUGAGGUGGAGCGAAUCCCAAAAAGCCGGUCCCAGUUCGGAUUGAGGUCUGCAACUCGACCUCAUGAAGUCGGAGUCGCUAGUAAUCGCAGAUCAGCAACGCUGCGGUGAAUACGUUCCCGGGUCUUGUACACACCGCCCGUCAAGUC